rnacentral:rRNA from 1 species
AUACGGAAGGUCCGGGCGUUAUCCGGAUUUAUUGGGUUUAAAGGGAGCGCAGGCGGAGAUGCAAGCGUGACGUCAAAUUUCGGGGCUCAACCCCGUCUCGCGUCGCGAACUGCGUCCCUUGGUUGCGGGAAGGGGAGGCGGAACUCGUGGUGUAGCGGUGAAAUGCAUAGAUAUCACGAAGAACUCCGAUCGCGAAGGCAGCCUUCCGGCCCGUCAACGACGCUCAUGCUCGAAGGUGCGGGUAUCAAACAGGAUUAGAUACCCUGGUAGUCCGCACAGUAAAUGAUGGACACCCGCGGUUUGGCCUGUAUGGCUGAGCCGCCAAGCGAAAGCGUUAAGUGUCCCACCUGGGGAGUACGCCGGCAACGGUGAAACUCAAAUGAAUUGACGGGG